GCCUCUAUCUUUCUCCUUUGCAGAAUUGGCCCACGCCCCUCUUUCAUGACUACCUUCGCCAUAUUGCUGGUCAGAACCAGCUUCUUCACCGUAACUAGACUCGCCAGCUCUGCCUCCACCGUGCUCUUCACUGCCCCAUCCACCCAUACUAGGAUCAGACCACAUUCCCAUAUUAGGCCCAUCAACACCCGAUGUUGGCAUCAUCCCCAUUCCAUUCAUAGGCAUACCU
rnacentral:misc_RNA from 1 species